rnacentral:rRNA from 1 species
GUGGGGAAUCUUAGACAAUGGGGGAAACCCUGAUCUAGCCAUGCCGCGUGAGCGAUGAAGGCCUUAGGGUUGUAAAGCUCUUUCGUGGGGGAAGAUAAUGACUGUACCCCAAGAAGAAGCCCCGGCUAACUCCGUGCCAGCAGCCGCGGUAAUACGGAGGGGGCUAGCGUUGUUCGGAAUUACUGGGCGUAAAGCGCACGUAGGCGGACUGGAAAGUCAGGGGUGAAAUCCCGGGGCUCAACCCCGGAACUGCCUUUGAAACUCCCAGUCUUGAGGUCGAGAGAGGUGGGUGGAAUUCCGAGUGUAGAGGUGAAAUUCGUAGAUAUUCGGAGGAACACCAGUGGCGAAGGCGGCCCACUGGCUCGAUACUGACGCUGAGGUGCGAAAGCGUGGGGAGCAAACAGGAUUAGAUACCCGUGUAGUCC